ACUCUGGCCAGCUUUUAUGUAGGGCAGACAUCUCAGGAGGAAGAGCCAACAGAACCAGAAGUGUUCCCAGACAUGUUGCUUCACCACCGUGCCUCUCUUUCUUUCAGCAAACAGGAGAGGUAGGAGAGGAAGGCAGAACAGAGCACUGACUCAGCCCACCUGCACCCAGGUGAAAUAAACAGCUUUAUUGCUCACACAAAGCCUGUUUCGUGGUCUCUUCACACUGACGUGCAUGAAAUUUGUUGCCAUGACUUGGAUCGGGGGACCUCCCUUUGGAGAUCAAUCCCCCAUCCUCCUGCUCUUUGCUCCGUGAGAAAGAUCCACCUAUGACCUCAGGUCCUCAGACUGACCAGCCCAAGAAACAUCUCACCAAUUUCAAAUCCGACUAAGGAAAAGCUAUAUGAGGAUACAGCAAGAGGGCAGCCAACUACAUUCCUGGAAGACAGCCCUGAAACCAACACUGAUGGCACCUAGAUCUUAACUUCUGGCAUCUGGAACUGUGAAAAAAUAAAUUUCCAUUGUUUAAGCCA
rnacentral:lncRNA from 1 species